rnacentral:rRNA from 1 species
CCUACGGGGGGCUGCAGUGGGGAAUAUUGCACAAUGGGCGCGAGCCUGAUGCAGCCAUGCCGCGUGUGUGAAGAAGGCCUUCGGGUUGUAAAGCACUUUCAGCGGGGAGGAAGGCGGUGAGGUUAAUAACCUCAUCGAUUGACGUUACCCGCAGAAGAAGCACCGGCUAACUCCGUGCCAGCAGCCGCGGUAAUACGGAAGGUGCAAGCGUUAAUCGGAAUUACUGGGCGUAAAGCGCACGCAGGCGGUCUGUCAAGUCGGAUGUGAAAUCCCCGGGCUCAACCUGGGAACUGCAUUCGAAACUGGCAGGCUAGAGUCUUGUAGAGGGGGGUAGAAUUCCAGGUGUAGCGGUGAAAUGCGUAGAGAUCUGGAGGAAUACCGGUGGCGAAGGCGGCCCCCUGGACAAAGACUGACGCUCAGGUGCGAAAGCGUGGGGAGCAAACAGGAUUAGAUACCCGAGUAGUC